rnacentral:rRNA from 1 species
AUUGAACGCUGGCGGCAGGCCUAACACAUGCAAGUCGAGCGGAUGAAGGGAGCUUGCUCCUGGAUUCAGCGGCGGACGGGUGAGUAAUGCCUAGGAAGCUGCCUGGUAGUGGGGGAUAACGUCCGGAAACGGGCGCUAAUACCGCAUACGUCCAGAGGGAGAAAGGGGGGGAUCUUCGGACCUCACGCUAUUAGAUGAGCCUAGGACGGAUUAGCUAGUUGGUGGGGUAAAGGCCUACCAAGGCGACGAUCCGUAACUGCCCCGAGAGGAUGAUCAGUCACACUGGAACUGAGACACGGUCCAGACUCCUACGGGAGGCAGCAGUGGGGAAUAUUGGACAAUGGGCGAAAGCCUGACCCAGCCAUGCCGCGUGUGUGAAGAAGGUCUUCGGAUUGUAAAGCACUUUAAGUUGGGAGGAAGGGCAGUAAGUUAAUCCCUUGCUGUCUUGACGUUACCAACAGAAUAAGCGCCGGCUAACUUCGUG